rnacentral:lncRNA from 1 species
ACAAAUUAAGCAAUUCAAGAAAUAAUCAUCAUUGAAAUCAUGAAGUUUUAAAGGAAAAGAAAAGAAACGAUUAAGAUUAACUCAUAAACCCUAAUUUCUAAUCUAAUUCUAGUCUAAUCCUAAUUAAGAAUGUCAAUCCUAAAUUAAUUAAGACUAAAUUUCAUUCAUAACCAUGGUGUCAUUUUGAUAUUAAAAAAAAUAAUAAAAAG